CUUCACCGACCCCAACAGCAGCGGCCGAUCGACGGGCCGGUCCUGCCCGUACGUCGCCAACAACGCCUGCGCCUC
rnacentral:antisense_RNA from 1 species